rnacentral:lncRNA from 1 species
GGGGUGUUUCAUCAACUAAAAUCGAUUUCGAUUUUAAAAAUCAAUUUUAAGGCCGAAUCAGUUUUAGCUUAAAACCGAUACAUGUGAGCUGUUUCAUCAAAUCGAUUUUAAGCUAAAAUAGAUUUUUAGGUGUCUGCAAUCAAGGCUAGUCAAUUUGGGGUAAAUCGAUCACAAAAUGGCCUUGCUUAACUACAGUGAGAGUCCUUGAAAAAGUCGGACUAAAAGAUGGAGUGGACCACAAGUCGUAUCCACCAAAUAGACCUUGGCUUUAGUCCAAGACUCAAAAGUUUUCUUCUGCCGUGUCUCUACAGUCUUGGACUUCUCAUUCUUCCUUGGCCUCAGGCUCAAGGAAAGGGUUUGGAUAUGCAGAAUGUACUCAAGCUCAAUGUCUAGGUGUACAGCUAUAGAUCGUACUGUGCUAAGCGGCCUUGUGGAGUGAUCUUCUUACUAGUAAAAUUUGCACACCAAUAAUAAAACAAAGGUUGCAAAAUAAAGAGCUAUGGCAUCUGCAUGUACUGCUAGUUCAUGACAAAUGAACAUUUAUUGUCCAUCUCUUCAAAUUGAAAAGACUGCAGAGCCUGAAUUACCUGCAACGUUAUGCCUCUUAUGAAACAUCAGCCAGCCUACAGAUAGAAGCUCCCUUUUCCAGCUUUAAGCAAGAGGAACCACAAUGAGAUACAGAUCUUGGUAUCAUGGACUGGUCACUUUUUACAACCAACACUACUUGUAAAUUAAGAUUUACAAAUUAAUUCCUAUAAGCUAUCAAAAAUGCUCUAGUCAAGGUACUAAAAUUUUGCCAUCGAGUUUGAGGUUUUGGGUUUGAUAAAAUGUUAACAUAAAAUAUUUCAAAGGAAGUAAACGUUUUAAUGAUACUUCCAAGAUUUCCUACAUUUUAAACUGAAUUUUAGAAUUUUGCAGAAGAAAAGAGAAGAAAUAAAAAGCUAUUAUUCUGUCGUGGAGGUUAUUGUUACCAAACUCCAUUACAUAGAUAAUUUUGUUCAUGGCAAUAAAUCUUAAAAUAUCAAAUUGGAAUUUCUUAAUUAGCAAUUCAUCUGAGCAGCAGUUUGAUGACCUAUUUGGAACUCUUCCUAGAGGCACUUCUUGCAUGACUAUGUAUCGAUAAUUACCUGU